GGUUGAUCCUGCCAGUAGUCAUAUGCUUGUCUCAAAGAUUAAGCCAUGCAUGUCUAAGUAUAAGCUUGUUUAUACGGCGAGACUGCGGAUGGCUCAUUAAAUCAGUUAUAGUUUAUUUGAUGGUCUCUUUUGUCGUUUUGAUUACCUACUUGGAUAACCGUGGUAAUUCUAGAGCUAAUACAUGCGCAAGGUCCCGAGCGCGAGGGGCGAGGUGUCAAAGCCUCGUUCCUGCAUGCGCAGAGGGAUGUAUUUAUUAGAUUAAAAACCAGCAGCGUCAGCAAUGGCGUUCAAA
rnacentral:rRNA from 1 species